rnacentral:rRNA from 1 species
AUUGAACGCUGGCGGCAGGCCUAACACAUGCAAGUCGAGCGGAGCGGCGGACGGGUGAGUAAUGCCUAGGAAUCUGCCUGGUCGUGGGGGAUAACGUCCGGAAACGGGCGCUAAUACCGCAUACUAUCAGAUGAGCCUAGGUCGGAUUAGCUAGUUGGUGGGGUAACGGCUCACCAAGGUCACGAUGCAUAGCCGACCUGAGAGGGUGAUCGGCCACACUGGGACUGAGACACGGCCCAGACUCCUGCGGGAGGCAGCAGUGGGGAAUUUUGGACAAUGGGGGAAACCCUGAUCCAGCCAUCCCGCGUGUGCGAUGAAGGCCUGCGGGUUGUAAAGCACUUUUGGCAGGAAAGCGGUACCUGCAGAAUAAGCACCGGCUAACUACGUGCCAGCAGCCGCGGUAAUAC